CAGCUUGACAAUAACUGCCUGCGAGCGG
rnacentral:piRNA from 1 species